AGCAGCCGCGGUAAUUCCAGCUCCAAUAGCGUAUAUUAAAGUUGCUGCAGUUAAAAAGCUCGUAGUUGAAUUUCGGGACCAUCAUGUCGGUCGUGCCUCGGUACGUACUGGCAUUGUUGGUUUCUACCUUCUGACGACNCAUG
rnacentral:rRNA from 1 species